rnacentral:rRNA from 1 species
UACGGAGGGUGCGAGCGUUAAUCGGAAUGACUGGGCGUAAAGCGUGCGUAGGCGGUAACGUCAGUCAGUCGUGAAAGCCCUGGGCUUAACCUGGGAAUGGCGAUUGAGACGGCGUAACUCGAGUGGGCUAGAGGACUGUGGAACUCCCGGUGUAGCGGUGAAAUGCGUAGAGAUCGGGAAGAACACCGAUGGCGAAGGCAGCGGUCUGGGGCCACACUGACGCUGAGGCACGAAAGCGUGGGGAGCAAACAGG